rnacentral:rRNA from 1 species
CAGCCGCCGCGGGAAUACAGAGGGUGCAAGCGUUAAUCGGAUUUACUGGGCGUAAAGGGCGCGUAGGUGGUUAUUUAAGUGAGAUGUGAAAGCCCCGGGCUUAACCUGGGAACUGCAUCUUAUACUGGGUAACUGGAGUGCAGUAGAGGGUAGUGGAAUUUCCGGUGUAGCGGUGAAAUGCGUAGAUAUCGGAAGGAACACCAGUGGCGAAGGCGGCUACCUGGGCCAACACUGACACUGAGGCACGAAAGCGUGGGGAGCAAACAGGAUUAGAUACCCCUGUAGUCCCUGUCUCUUAUAC